AGCUUAACCUUCGGGAGGGCGCUUGCCACGGUGUGGCCGAUGACUGGGGUGAAGUCGUAACAAGGUAGCCGUAUCGGAAGGUGCGGCUGGAUCACCUCCUUUUGAGCAUGACGUCAUCGUCCUGUCGGGCGUCCUCACAAAUUACCUGCAUUCAGAGAUGCGUAUCGGCACAGGCCGGUAUGCGAAAGUCCCAUCAUGGGGCCUUAGCUCAGCUGGGAGAGCACCUGCUUUGCAAGCAGGGGGUCGUCGGUUCGAUCCCGACAGGCUCCACCAUUUGAGUGAAACGACUUUGGGUCUGUAGCUCAGGUGGUUAGAGCGCACCCCUGAUAAGGGUGAGGUCGGUGGUUCGAGUCCUCCCAGACCCACCACUCUGAAUGUAGUGCACACUUAAGAAUUUAUAUGGCUCAGCGUUGAGGCUGAGACAUGUUCUUUUAUAACUUGUGACGUAGCGAGCGUUUGAGAUAUCUAUCUAAACGUGUCGUUGAGGCUAAGGCGGGGACUUCGAGUCCCUAAAUAAUUGAGUCGUAUGUUCGCGUUGGUGGCUUUGUACCCCACACAACACGGCAUGUGACCCUGAGGCAACUUGGGGUUAUAUGGUCAAGCGAAUAAGCGCACACGGUGGAUGCCUAGGCGGUCAGAGGCGAUGAAGGACGUGGUAGCCUGCGAAAAGUGUCGGGGAGCUGGCAACAAGCUUUGAUCCGGCAAUAUCCGAAUGGGGAAACCCACUGCUUCGGCAGUAUCCUGCAGUGAAUUCAUAGCUGCUGGAAGCGAACCCGGUGAACUGAAAUAUCUAAGUAACCCGGAGGAAAAGAAAUCAACCGAGAUUCCCUAAGUAGUGACGAGCGAACGGGAGCAGCCCUUAAGCUGGAAUGGCUUUAGAAAAACAAUCUGGAAAGAUUGGUCAUAGAGGUGAUAGCCCUGUAUUUAAAACACUCAGUGAGACGAGUAGCGGGCACGUGAACCUGUCUGAUAUGGGGGACAUCUCAGCUAAAUACUCUGACC
rnacentral:sRNA from 1 species